rnacentral:rRNA from 1 species
AAUGGGGGAACCUGAUCAUCAUGCCGCGUGUGGGAUGAAGGCCCUCGGGUUGUAAACCACUUUUGGCAGAAAAGAAAUCGCCUGUGCUAAUACCAUGGGCGGAUGACGGUACCUGCAGAAUAAGCACCGGCUAACUACGUGCCAGCAGCCGCGGUAAUACGUAGGGUGCGAGCGUUAAUCGGAAUUACUGGGCGUAAAGCGUGCGCAGGCGGUUUUGUAAGACAGAUGUGAAAUCCCCGGGCUUAACCUGGGAACUGCAUUUGUGACUGCAAGACUAGAGUGUGUCAGAGGGAGGUGGAAUUCCGCGUGUAGCAGUGAAAUGCGUAGAGAUGCGGAAGAACACCGAUGGCGAAGGCAGCCUCCUGGGAUAACACUGACGCUCAGGCACGAAAGCGUGGGGAGCAAACAGGAUUAGAUACCCUGGUAGUCCACGCCCUAAACGAUGUCAACUAGUUGUUGGGGAUUCAUUUCCUUAGUAACGUAGCUAACGCGUGAAGUUGACCGCCUGGGGAGUACGGCCGCAAGGUUAAAACUCAAAGGAAUUGACGGGGACCCGCACAAGCGGUGGAUGAUGUGGAUUAAUUCGAUGCAACGCGAAAAACCUUACCUACCCUUGACAUGUCGAGAAC